rnacentral:rRNA from 1 species
UACGAAGGGGGCUAGCGUUGUUCGGAAUUACUGGGCGUAAAGCGCACGUAGGCGGGCGAUUAAGUCAGGGGUGAAAUCCCGGAGCUCAACUCCGGAACUGCCUUUGAUACUGGUCGUCUAGAGAUCGGAAGAGGUGAGUGGAAUUCCCAGUGUAGAGGUGAAAUUCGUAGAUAUUGGGAAGAACACCAGUGGCGAAGGCGGCUCACUGGUCCGAUACUGACGCUGAGGUGCGAAAAGCGUGGGGAGCAAACAGG